CCGAAACGGGCAGGCUACGAAGCGCGGACGUGCCACGGUCGCCGAUCCGCCGCGCUGAGCCACUGGCGAGACCGCGCCCAAAGCAU
rnacentral:ncRNA from 1 species